rnacentral:rRNA from 1 species
UACAGAGGUGCGAGCGUUAAUCGGAAUUACUGGGCGUAAAGGGUGUGUAGGUGGCGCGCUAAGUCGGGUGUGAAAUUUCGGAGCUUAACUCCGAAACUGCAUUCGAUACUGCCGUGCUUGAGGACUGGAGAGGAGACUGGAAUUUACGGUGUAGCGGUGAAAUGCGUAGAGAUCGUGAGGAAGACCAGUGGCGAAGGCGGGUCUCUGGACAGUUCCUGACACUGAGACACGAAGGCCAGGGGAGCAAACGGG